CCUACGGGCGGCAGCAGUGAGGAAUAUUGGUCAAUGGACGAGAGUCUGAACCAGCCAAGUAGCGUGAAGGAUGACUGCCCUAUGGGUUGUAAACUUCUUUUAUAUGGGAAUAAAAUGUUCCACGUGUGGGAUUUUGUAUGUACCAUAUGAAUAAGGAUCGGCUAACUCCGUGCCAGCAGCCGCGGUAAUACGGAGGAUCCGAGCGUUAUCCGGAUUUAUUGGGUUUAAAGGGAGCGUAGGUGGAUUGUUAAGUCAGUUGUGAAAGUUUGCGGCUCAACCGUAAAAUUGCAGUUGAAACUGGCAGUCUUGAGUACAGUAGAGGUGGGCAGAAUUCGUGGUGUAGCGGUGAAAUGCUUAGAUAUCACGAAGAACUCCGAUUGCGAAGGCAGUUCACUGGACUGCAACUGACACUGAGGCUCGAAAGUGUGGGUAUCAAACAGGAUUAGAUACCCUUGUAGUC
rnacentral:rRNA from 1 species